rnacentral:rRNA from 1 species
GUGGGGAAUUUUGGACAAUGGGCGCAAGCCUGAUCCAGCAAUGCCGCGUGCAGGAAGAAGGCCUUCGGGUUGUAAACUGCUUUUGUACGGAACGAAACGGUCCGGGUUAAUACCCUGGGCUAAUGACGGUACCGUAAGAAUAAGCACCGGCUAACUACGUGCCAGCAGCCGCGGUAAUACGCAGGGUGCAAGCGUUAAUCGGAAUUACUGGGCGUAAAGCGUGCGCAGGCGGUUUUGUAAGACAGGAGUGAAAUCCCCGGGCUCAACCUGGGAAUUGCGCUUGUGACUGCAAGGCUGGAGUGCGGCAGAGGGGGAUGGAAUUCCGCGGGUAGCAGUGAAAUGCGUAGAUAUGCGGAGGAACACCGAUGGCGAAGGCAAUCCCCUGGGCCUGCACUGACGCUCAUGCACGAAAGCGUGGGGAGCAAACAGGAUUAGAAACCCCUGUAGUCC